rnacentral:lncRNA from 1 species
UUUUUUUUUCUUUGAGACGGAGUUUUGCUCUUAUGCUCAGGCUGGAGUGCAAUGGCGUGAUCUCGGCUCACCGCAACCUCCGCCUCCUGGGUUCCAGCGAUUUUCCUGCCUCAGCUUCCCGAGUAGCUGGGAUUACAGGCAUGCACCACCAUGCCAGGUUAAUUUUGUAUUUUUAGUAGAGACAGGGUUUCUCCAUGUUGAGGUCAGUCUGGUCUUAAACUCUUGACCUCAGGUGAUCUGCCUGCCUCAGCCUCCCAAAGUGCUGGGAUUAUAGGCAUGAGCCCACACCCGGCCUCUUUUUUUAAUUUUUAUUUUUUGAGACAGAGUCUCAUUCUGUCACCCAGGCUGGAGUGCAGUGGCGCCAUCUUGCUCACUGCAGCCUCGUCCUCCUGGGUUCAAGUGAUUCUCCUGCCUCAGCCUCCUGAGUAGCUGGGACUACAGGUGCCCGCCAUCACUUCCAGCUAAUUUUUAUAUUUUUAAUAGAAUUGGUGUUUUGCCAUGUUGGCCAGGCUGGUCUGGAACUCCUGACCUCAACUGAUCUGCCCGCCUGGGCCUCCCAAAGUGCUGGGAUUACAGGUGUGAGCCACCACACCCUGCCGUUGGUAGUUCUUGUGGGAAGAGAGGGGGCAGCUCUGGGGUGACAUCUAAGACCUGAGGAGGAGAGGUCCUGGGGAGCAGUUGGCUAUCUGUGGGAAGAACAACCCAGGCCUUGCAGAGACCCUACCUUGAUGGAGUGGAGACCAUGGAGGAGCUAAGCGAGCAAGGGACAGAGAGAAGAAGGCAGGGAGGGAGUAGGGGGCCUUCGAGCAUGGAAGUCUCAAAACCAGCAAAUGGACUUCAGCUUUCACUUGGAGAUGGGGAGACUUUGCAGGGUUUUAAGCGUGGGACGGACAUGGUCUGACUUAAAGGAGCCAGCCAGCUUUCAGUGGACCAGCCAUGGCAGGCUGAAUCCUAAGGAGAGAGACAUGCUAAUUAGACUCUGAGCUGGCCCCUGGGGGCUCCCAGGGUAGUGUGGUACCCCCAGUCAAUCAGAUUUGCACCGUACAAAGGUCACUCCCACCAGCACAUGGGAACGUUUUGACCUAUGUAGUGUGUCCCGAUAAAGAUUUAUUAAAUAUAAAUGGACCAGGCAGGGUGGCGCACGCCUGUAACCCCAGCAUUUUGGGAGGCUGAGGCUGGUGGAUCACUUGAGGUCAGGAGUUCGAGACCAGCC